GGAGAGAUGGCUGAGCGGUCGAAAGCGGUAGAUUGCUAAUUUAUUAUACAAUUAUAUAUUGUAUCAAGGGUUCGAAUCCCUUUCUCUCCU
rnacentral:tRNA from 1 species